GCAGAGUAAAUGAUGGGCUGAGCCUCAGUCUACAGAGGAAAACUUCUCCUCAAUGUGACAAGAGCAGCGGCAACAAUCAGCUGGGGGUGCUUUCUGUGGCCUUGGACAGACUGUCUCAUCGGAUGGGCUUCCUUUCUGUCCACCUGUUCAGAUGCUGAUUGCACAGAAUGGGGGCAGAAGUGCUGAUGACACCACCCUGUGAUGAGCUGACUUAUGGCCUCGGUUCAGCAGCCGGCGUUCUACCUUCCUUUCUCCCUAGGAUUUGCGGAAAGCCUCAGCUAAAAGGGAAGACUAGAAAAUACGUGAGAUCUCUUUAGCUGGAAGAUGUGGUGGUUCCUUGGUUGGACUUGAGAAAACCUCCCUGAAUUUGGGAAGAGGAUAAAGGGUAGAAAGGGAAAAGCUGUAAUGGAUGCGAAAGCAGAGAAACUCUGAAAUAAUAUCUAACUGGAGCUAAUUACAAAGAAACCUGAAACUUGGGAGAAGUAGGACUGUUUCUUUGCCUCAAAAAUGGUGGGGGAGGGUGUGUUCAA